rnacentral:lncRNA from 1 species
GAAAGGUCCUGCUGCUUGGUAGAGCAUCCCGCUCUGCAUGCCUUCUCCUCUCUGCAGGGAUUGGUGUCCUGCUACUUGUCUCCAGCAGCUGCCUCGUAUCUGCUACCUUAUGGAUGCCUUCCAACUCGGGAUAUCCUAUGAGUCUUCCUUCAUUGUCCUUCUACUGAACCUGGGACCUCAACAGUGAGCAGCUAAAGGUAUUCUGGGUCUACACCGGUGAGAAGAGAGAAGUUCUCUGCGAGGCCUGGAAGUAUGACACAUGCUUAUGAGCAGACUCUAGGCACAUACAAUGUACUCAUUAAUUGCCACGGGGAAUGCUGUGCCAGCAGGAGGGAUUCUAGCCCCAAAAAGCACUGCGAGAGCUGCGUGACCCCUCACCCCCAGGCAGAAGUGGGGGAGGACACCUCCAUCUUGUAAUCUGCAUCUGUCAAAAGAAGUGCUCUCCUCAUUUUUUGCCAGUUUGGGAAGGGUUAAUGAGGGAAGCACAGCCCCCAGGGGCCAGCACUGUUGUUCCAUGCAGAUUGGCUUGUUCUUGUUUCUUCCAUCGAUCGCAAUCACUCAGAGCUGUGCCUGUAACAAACUGCCUUAAAUCAUUGCAAUCAUAAUAAGCACACCUUGGUAAAUAAUGCAUGAGGUGUCCGUAAGCCUAUAUUCAUUAGGAGGAAGGCGCAUAUAGAGCACGGUAAUCAUCUGGGCUCAAGGAGGGGCUUGGAUGGUGGGGCUGAGCCGGGUUUGGGGGCCAAGGCUCUCCAGCCCCUCAGAUGUUGGAAACGUAGGCGGGUUCCUUGUCACCUUCAUGAAUUUUGUACGAGAUGUUUAAAAUGCCUGUAAGGUUUGCAUUGUAAUCCAGGUUGGGUAGAAGUGGGCUUGUGGCGAGUCUCCAAGUGGUAUAAUAGCAAGGCAUCACAAUUAAUCGUGUUUAAUAUGUUUUAAUGACUCAAAGCACGUGGUGUGUAACAAGUUUUGCUGUGAGAGCCUCGUAGCCAAGUUAAUGGUCUGGAUAUUAGGAGCCACUGUUUUAAAGCACAAAUUAAAAAUGCUUUGUUUUCCCUUUGUCUUGAGGAGCAGAAUGGUGUUGCAGCAUGGAGCUCCUUUAGGGCAGCUCCAUUGGGCGUUAGUGCCAUCCUGGUGCCAUGGCCUUCACUGCGAGGUUUUCAGGGCAGACUGCAAGGGAAAUUAGGCAGAAAUUUCCACCUUUCUUUUUUAUUAUUAUUUUUGUGUGUGUGUGUGUGUGUGUGUGUGUGUGUGUGAAAUGACAGUGAUAAGGACAGUUUUCUUUUGUAUGGUUAGAAGGGAUGGAGCCGUGGCAGAAGCAUUCCUGCUUGUAUCAGACAGCUGUGGAUGGCAAUGGGUCAUUUCACUCCAUUAUGGUUUCUGGCAAGUGAGUAUUAAAGGGUGUGUGAGGGCAUCGUUUCUCAGCGAUGACUUCAUUUGGCUGUCUAAACAAACAGCCGUUCCUCACCAGGUGCAAAGGGCCUUCUAUUUGUUUUUGAACUCUGUGAAGGGGGGAAAAAAAUACCUAAAGGGAAAAUAGCAGAUCCUGCCUGUUUGACAGCCAUGGUGGUCUCUGCCUUCUUGGGAAACAGCAGCGAUGAGUGCUGUGGGGACAACUCGCUCCUUGUUCAGCCCCAGUGGAUGUCUUCAUCACCAUGGUAAGUCUGUUUGAGAGCCUCCAAACCACAGACCUCCUGGUGAUGCUGGUUGGCUCAGGGUUGUCUAUAUCCAACAACCCAAUCCCUAGACGUGCUCAAAGCCAAGUUGGAUGGCGCCCUGGGCAGCCUGAUCUGGCAUGGGGCAACCAUCCCAUGGCAGCUGGUUGGAGCUGGGUGGGCUUUUAAGGUCCCUUCCAAGCCAUUCUAUGGAAAUUCGGAAGUACUGGUGGGUCUGCUGGAAAGAGACAUUAUCUUUGAGAGCUCCCAGGGAUCCCAUCUCUGCUUGUAACCAAACCAGAACAUUUCUUCUUUAUACACACAAACCAUUUACAUGUACUUCAGAGCCCUAAGUAGACCACAUUUUAGAUAAAUUUAAAAACUCUGCUCUCCUGUUGGC